CAAUAGCGUAUAUUAAAGCUGUUGCGGUUAAAAAGCUCGUAGUUGGAUUUCUGUCAAGGACAACUGGUCCGCCCUCCGGGUGAGCACAUAGUUUGGUCUUGACAUCUUGCUGGAAGCUGUUGCUGCACUUGGCUGUGUGGCGCAGUGUUCAGCACUUUCACCUUGAGGAAAUUGGAGUGUUUCAAGCAGGCACAUGCCUUUGGACACAGUAGCAUGGAAUAAUUAGAUUGGGCUUUUGCUCCAAUUUGUCGGUUUCUGGAGCUGAGGUGAGUAUUAAUGGGGAUUGUUGGGGGCAUCCGAAUUUAGCCGUCAGAGGUGAAAUUCUUGGAUCUGCUAAAGACGGACAACUGCGAAAGCGUUUGCCCAGGAUGUUUUCAUUGA
rnacentral:rRNA from 1 species